CUUUGCAUGCCGAGGAGAAUUCUCUCACCGAAAAUGCUGUCAGUCGCUGUCAAAGCAUGCUGUCAGUUAUUUUCUCAGCUGCAUUCUCGGUGUAUGUAGAAACGCUCACAGACAAGUUUCGUUAAAUUUUUUCUAUCGUUAAAGCUGUGUCGAUGUGUCAAAAUGUUCAAAAUCAAAACAAAAAAAAACGUAAACAAGUUUAUUUAAGACACGAUCGUUUAUCAAGCUAACAAUCCUUGUUUAAAAUAUCGAAAUGAUUUUAUCCCACUUCGUAAGUGACGAUAGCAGCAGUGAAGAAGAAACAACGGUAGAUCUGGCAAAACAGCGCCGACUGCUUCGAAGUGUUUUCGACCCGUUACAGCUUUAUAACCAAGCAUUUAAGAAAAAAAUUCGUGUGUCGAAGGAAAUUUUCCUUGACAUUCUGGCGGAGAUCGAGCCCUCCGAGUAUUUGUUAUUACUAAAGGUGUAUGCAAUAUUAGAUGUGAUAAUUUCAUGUGCGUAUGCUGUUGGUUGUUGAAGCAGCCACUCACUGAAGAAGUUGCUGGAAUCCAAUGCUGUUGAACGCAAACCAGGUGCGUGAGCCCUUCAUCUUUCGACUACCAUCGAAGAACAACAGAGGAAGGAAAUAACAGCAGCUUCUUAACCCAAAACAGCAGCACGUUACCAGUAUCUCCCGCUUAUCGCCAUUUGUAUGGAUAUGGCAGUACACAUAUUUUUAUUUAAAAUGAUAAAAUUUGAUUAUUUCUGAAAAAAAAUGCUUACAUUUUGUCGUGAAAGCAACAGCAACAACUCUGUUGUUGUGUUUUGUCGGUCAAACAAUCUGAGAUUGGCGCCUUUCCGUGACAAAAAGCUGACGGAAAGCAGUUUGACAAAUUUGGAUUUCCGUUUGUGUUUCAUAAUACAUAUCUUGGCAGUAUGCUUGUGAGUUUGUGUUUCGUCAAAAAAAAAUUUCCAACACACAACACAAACGGAUGUCAUAAUACAACGGAAAAAUAUUAAAAAAAUUUAUAAAUAAAUUGUAUAUAUGAAAUAUAAUUAUUACCUACUCAAUCUAUUGUUCCGGCCAUUUUGAACAAACAUUACUUUAGGUGCGAGGGCUCUUUUUAAAAGUUUGGUUAAUGAAGUUAAUAAAUAUUUGUAUGUAUUUCAUUAUCCUGCUUUAUCAAUAGCUGGGAAAAUAAAUAAAUAAUCAUUUUUUAUAAGUAA